rnacentral:rRNA from 1 species
ACGGGUGAGUAAUGUCUGGGGAUCUGCCCGAUAGAGGGGGAUAACCACUGGAAACGGUGGCUAAUACCGCAUAACGUCGCAAGACCAAAGAGGGGGACCUUCGGGCCUCUCACUAUCGGAUGAACCCAGAUGGGAUUAGCUAGUAGGCGGGGUAACGGCCCACCUAGGCGACGAUCCCUAGCUGGUCUGAGAGGAUGACCAGCCACACUGGAACUGAGACACGGUCCAGACUCCUACGGGAGGCAGCAGUGGGGAAUAUUGCACAAUGGGCGCAAGCCUGAUGCAGCCAUGCCGCGUGUAUGAAGAAGGCCUUCGGGUUGUAAAGUACUUUCAGCGGGGAGGAGGGCAGUGAGGUUAAUAACCUUACUGAUUGACGUUACCCGCAGAAGAAGCACCGGCUAACUCCGUGCCAGCAGCCGCGGUAAUACGGAGGGUGCAAGCGUUAAUCGGAAUUACUGGGCGUAAAGCGCACGCAGGCGGUCUGUUAAGUCAGAUGUGAAAUCCCCGGGCUUAACCUGGGAACUGCAUUUGAAACCGGCAGGCUUGAGUCUCGUAGAGGGGGGUAGAAUUCCAGGUGUAGC